rnacentral:rRNA from 1 species
AAGCCCUGCUUGCAGGGUGGAUUAGUGGCGAACGGGUGAGUAACACGUGAGUAACCUGCCCCCGACUCUGGGAUAAGCCCGGGAAACUGGGUCUAAUACCGGAUAUGACUUCCUACUGCAUGGUGGGUUGUUGAAAGAUUUAUCGGUGGGGGAUGGACUCGCGGCCUAUCAGCUUGUUGGUGAGGUAAUGGCUCACCAAGGCGACGACGGGUAGCCGGCCUGAGAGGGUGACCGGCCACACUGGGACUGAGACACGGCCCAGACUCCUACGGGAGGCAGCAGUGGGGAAUAUUGCACAAUGGGCGCAAGCCUGAUGCAGCGACGCCGCGUGAGGGAUGACGGCCUUCGGGUUGUAAACCUCUUUCAGUAGGGAAGAAGCGAAAGUGACGGUACCUGCAGAAGAAGCGCCGGCUAACUACGUGCCAGCAGCCGCGGUAAUACGUAGGGCGCAAGCGUUAUCCGGAUUUAUUGGGCGUAAAGAGCUCGUAGGCGGUUUGUCGCGUCUGCCGUGAAAGUCCGAGGCUCAACCUCGGAUCUGCGGUGGGUACGGGCAGACUAGAGUGAUGUAGGGGAGACUGGAAUUCCUGGUGUAGCGGUGAAAUGCGCAGAUAUCAGGAGGAACACCGAUGGCGAAGGCAGGUCUCUGGGCAUUUACUGACGCUGAGGAGCGAAAGCAUGGGGAGCGAACAGGAUUAGAUACCCUGGUAGUCCAUGCCGUAAACGUUGGGCACUAGGUGUGGGGGACAUUCCACGUUUUCCGCGCCGUAGCUAACGCAUUAAGUGCCCCGCCUGGGGAGUACGGCCGCAAGGCUAAAACUCAAAGGAAUUGACGGGGCCCGCACAAGCGGCGGAGCAUGCGGAUUAAUUCGAUGCAACGC